rnacentral:tRNA from 1 species
AGGGGUGUGUCUCAGUGAUACAGCACUUGCCUAGAAUGCAGGGAGGCCCUGGGUUCAAUUCCCAGCAUAUCUC